UACGGGGGGAGCAAGCGUUGUUCGGAUUUACUGGGCGUAAAGGGCGCGUAGGCGGUCGUGACAAGUCACUUGUGAAAUCUCCGGGCUUAACCCGGAGCGGUCAAGUGAUACUGUCGGACUAGAGUACAGAAGGGGCAACUGGAAUUCUCGGUGUAGCGGUGAAAUGCGUAGAUAUCAGGAGGAACACCAAUGGCGAAGGCAGCUCGCUGGAACGGUACUGACGCUGAGGCGCGAAAGCGUGGGGAGCAAACAGG
rnacentral:rRNA from 1 species